rnacentral:rRNA from 1 species
UACGUAGGGGGCAAGCGUUGUCCGGAAUCAUUGGGCGUAAAGAGCGUGUAGGCGGCCUGAUAAGUCGGUUGUGAAAGUCAAGGGCUCAACCCUUGAAUGCCGACCGAUACUGUCAGGCUAGAGUCCGGAAGAGGCGAGUGGAAUUCCUGGUGUAGCGGUGAAAUGCGCAGAUAUCAGGAGGAACACCAAUUGCGAAGGCAGCUCGCUGGGACGUUACUGACGCUGAGACGCGAAAGCGUGGGGAGCAAACAGG